rnacentral:RNase_P_RNA from 2 species
GAAGCUGGCCAGACAGUCGCUGUGCGGUUCGCCGCAUAGAGGAAAGUCCGGGCUCCAGAGAGCAAGGAUGCCGGCUAACGGCCGGACGCCGCGAGGCGAUGGAAAGUGCCACAGAAAAGAAGGACUUCAGAGAAGACUAACCCGCGCAAGCAGGUUAUGUCGGAACUAAAGUCCUUUAAGAAGGGCGGGCGACCGCUUUUCUUAUACCGCCGAUGGCUACGCUGACUUUGCAGCCGCGAGGCCGCAAAGUCGCGCUCGCGUAAAGCGGGCAGGGCGAAGAUCAGGCAAGGGUGAAAAGGUGACAGGCGGAUUUUCGCCUGAUGGUGACCGCAAAGCGGGUGCCAUGGUAAGAGCUCACCGCGUUGCUGGUAACAGCGACGGCAGGGCAAACCCCAUCCGGAGCAAGGCCAAAUAGGGAAGCGACAGCGUGGCUCGCGCUGCUUCCGGGUAGGCUGCUAGAGCGCGCCGGUAACGGCGCCCCCAGAGAAAUGACUGUCAUGGGGAUUCGUCCCUAACAGAACCCGGCUUAUCGGCCAGCUUCUCCU